rnacentral:rRNA from 1 species
GCAAGUCGAGCGGCAGCACGGUCUUCGGACUGGUGGCGAGCGGCGGACGGCUGAGUAACGCGUAGGAACAUACCCCAAAGUGAGGAAUAACCGCCCGAAAGGGUGGCUAAUGCCGCAUGUGGUCUUCGGAUUAAAGCUUUAUGCGCUUUGGGAUGGGUCUGCGUUCGAUUAGCUAGUUGGUGAGGUAAAUGCUCACCAAGGCGAUGAUCGAUAGCUGGUCUGAGAGGAUGACC